rnacentral:lncRNA from 1 species
ACACAUACACUUUCACUAUUUUAUUUUUGUUUCUUUUCCUUUUCUUUUCUUUUCUUUUCUUUUCUUUUACAUCCAUAUUUACAAAAUACAAAUUACAAAAACUGAAAACUAAACAAAUAUUACAUCAAACCAUUUGGAAAUUACAAAAAUGACCCAAAACAAAUUCAGGAACAAUUCUGGGCUACAUUCUGGGCUGCCUGAACAGUAGCGGCGCGUCUUCCCACGCGCCACCGCCACUGGCGGCGCGUGGGUUCACGCGCCGCCGCUGGAAAACCGGGAAAACCAGGGGUGUAUAGAGCGGCUUCCUCCCCUCUUCAUUUUUCUGUCGGCGGUGACCUAAAAACAAAACCCAACACCCAACAAGCAAUUGAUUUUUAGUUUGUUUUAGAUCUGUUUUUAUUACUUCUUUUUUUCUCGAUCUGCUCCUUCAGAUCGUCUUCUCCCCGGGUCAGAUCGUUAGGUGUUUCUUCUUCUUCUCUUCUGCUUCAGGUGGCGCCCAGUAUGUCCAAGGGGGCGGCCGGCGACUGAGCUUCGGUGUGGAGAGGAGAGUCGCCCCCCGGCUACUCAUGCGGUCUGUUACCCGCUGGAUCGGGUAGAUCACCGACCCUUCUUUCUCCUUCGGCUGACAGUGAGGAGGCAGAGAAAGGGGCUGGUCUUCGGGAUGUGGUGGUCGGCUAGUGUGGGAAGGAGACGGGUCCGUGGCUGGCCGCUUCUGUGGAGGAGACGCCGCUGCAAGGCUGGUCGGGCGGAGAUGAAGAGGACAGCGAGGCUGCUGCUGGUGGCUUGGGUUCAGUGGAAGCCGGUCCGGCCACUGGUCUGUGGGGAGGAGAAAAAUGGGGAAUGGAGGCCUUACGGCUGCUGGAAGGUCCGGUUGAAGAAGGAAAACAAAAGCUGAGGGAGGUGGCGGUGUGGCUUGGCCAGCCGGCUGGAGAAGAGGAAGAAGAAAAAUAAACUGGUGGGUUUGGGGGCUGUUUGGCCGGGUGUGGGGGAGCUGUGGCUGGGGGAAGGAAGAAAAAAUAAAAAAUCCAAAGGGUGGGGGGCUCCGGCGGCUGCCUUUGGUUAGAGAUGGAUUUUAGGGUUUUUUGUUGUAUUUUCUGGUGUUUCCAAAAU